CUGAAACCUAAAAGAAUCUUUUCUUUCUUUAACAUUGACAAAUCCAAUCCCGACAAAACACAAAACAAUGAAAAGCAUCAAAAGUCACAAAUGUUCACGGUUGAAUUCAAAUUCUUAGGCAACUCGGGAAGAUGAGAUAGUAAAUUUAAAACUAUUUAUUCAAGGAUUUUACCAAAUUAAUGGAUUUUACAACUUCCAAGUAAUGACAUUUCAAACAGGCCAUAAACUAUUAAUAAUAGACGUCAUAACUACUAAGGCAUAAGCAAUAUGCAUGGAAAACCUUAGACAGUGAAAUUUAAGCUCAUAAACUGAGAUAUGGACGGAAUGUAGAAAGGAACGAGAGAUUCAACUAAAAGAUUCGUUUAUGCAUACCUUUAGUAGAGGAAAUUUAAAUGAUAGUAAGUUAACCAUCAUCCUUUCAGAAACACAGGAAUAUUUAUAGUGUUGCAACAUGGAAGAGUGACAAGCAACUGAAAAGGUAUAAAUUAAUAUAACAAAGAGCAACUACCAAAAUCCAACUGCUACUUAAACCAUGAAAGAUUCCUUGAAUGAAACCAAGGCCAAGCUUUUGCAAAGCAUAAUUCCAAACUUUUAUUUUAAAUCAAUAACCAGAACAUAGAACUCACAUCAUGCAAGCUAAAAUUGAAAGUUCAGAAUAGAUCUUAAGCUAAAUAAAAUAAAAAUAGAAUACGUGAACAUUAACACCAUGUGCAGCCAGAAAAAUAUCUGAAUGGCAUGCAUGAUAUUGGAGAUAUUUAGGAGAACAUGUGAACAUCUUUUGAAUUUAUCUUGUGAACUAUCAAGUGUGGGGAGUUUGAUUCCUGGAAGGCACAACUUGGAAGGCAAGAUUUAUCUUGGAAGGCAAGUUGCUCUAAAGUAGUGAAGAGGCUCACUUUGGGGAAGGAGUAAAAGUCGUGUGGGAAUCUGGGAACCAACAAAGGCACAUCCCGCGAUUUACCUCCCUGAACUGCUGAGGGACCGGAGGUUCAGGGACGAGGAUAUAGUCUGGAGCAAGCUGGGACAUCUCGUUAAAAAAAAUAAAACAAGUAAUCAUUUACAGAAAGCUACAAAUACAAAAACAAUACUAAUUUAACAAUUUUUCAACAGAAUGAGAAGACAAACAAAAAUAUGUCAACAGAUUCUGAAUGAGCUAGACAAGCACAAGGACACAAAGAAAAAGAUGAAAAUUUGAAGAAAAAUUUUAAUAUGGGCCAAUGCAUCCACGGAUUCAACAAAUCAAGCCAUAAAAUUGUAAAUUAUUGAUAAUUCAGAUUACAAAAAUAUAAAUGAUUCGGAUACAGACAGAAAUCAACACGUCAAAAUUGUAACAAAUAAAAAACGGUCGAAGAACAAAUGAUUCGAAUGAUUCAAGGAACAAAAGUAAUACUAAACAGACCUAAUAGUUUAUGAAACAAAUGAUUCGAAUUUACCUCAAUAAAUGUGAAUUUUUGCUUAAUCCUUCCUCGCGCGGUGAACAAUGGUGGCCAAUGAAAUUAGAUAGGUACAAUUGAAGUUUACAAAUGCUCAUUCAAUUUUUGAAAGGUUGAAGUUCGUUGAUGCUUCUUUCCCGUUGAUGCUUCUUCUUCUUCUUUGGGAGCCCAUGAGAUUUUCAAAGAGUUAUCUUAUUUAGGGUUUAAGGAUAAAAGGGGAAAAUAGAAAAUCAAAACUUUAUUAUUA
rnacentral:lncRNA from 1 species